AUUGAACGCUGGCGGAAUGCUUUACACAUGCAAGUCGAACGAUGAACCUUAGCUUGCUAAGGGGGUUAGUGGCGAACGGGUGAGUAAUAUAUCGGAACGUGCCUUGUAAUGGGGGAUAACUAGUCGAAAGAUUAGCUAAUACCGCAUACGCCCUGAGGGGGAAAGUAGGGGAUCUUCGGACCUUACGUUAUAAGAGCGGCCGAUAUCUGAUUAGCUAGUUGGUGGGGUAAUGGCCUACCAAGGCGACGAUCAGUAGCUGGUCUGAGAGGACGACCAGCCACACUGGAACUGAGACACGGUCCAGACUCCUACGGGAGGCAGCAGUGGGGAAUUUUGGACAAUGGGCGCAAGCCUGAUCCAGCCAUUCCGCGGGAGUGAAGAAGGCCUUCGGGUUGUAAAGCUCUUUCGCAAGCGAAGAAAACUUACCAUCGAAUAAAUGGUGAGGCUGACGGUACCUUGAUAAGAAGCACCGGCGAACUACGU
rnacentral:rRNA from 1 species